UACGUAGGGACCAAGCGUUGUUCGGAUUUACUGGGCGUAAAGGGCGCGUAGGCGGCAUGACAAGUCACUUGUGAAAUCUCCGGGCUUAACUCGGAACGGUCAAGUGAUACUGUCGCGCUAGAGUGCGGAAGGGGCAAUCAGAAUUCUUGGUGUAGCGGUGAAAUGCGUAGAUAUCAAGAGGAAUACCUGAGGUGAAGACGGGUUGCUAGGCCGACACUGACGCUGACAGCGCGAAAGCCAGGGGAGCAAACGGG
rnacentral:rRNA from 1 species